UUUAAUGAGAGUUUGAUCCUGGCUCAGGACGAACGCUGGCGGCGUGCCUAAUACAUGCAAGUAGAACGCUGAUGUUUGGUGUUUACACUAGACUGAUGAGUUGCGAACGGGUGAGUAACGCGUAGGUAACCUGUCUCAUAGCGGGGGAUAACUAUUGGAAACGAUAGCUAAUACCGCAUAAGAGUGAUUAACACAUGUUAGUUAUUUAAAAGGAGCAAUUGCUUCACUGUGAGAUGGACCUGCGUUGUAUUAGCUAGUUGGUGAGGUAAAGGCUCACCAAGG
rnacentral:rRNA from 1 species